GUACUUGCAUCAGCAGCACAUAUGCUAAAAAUUGGAAUGACACAGAGAAGAUUAGGAUGGCUCCUGUGCAAGGAUGGUACACAAGUUUGGGAAGUGUUCCAUAUUUUU